CUCAGAAGAUCCAAAGAAUAAUUUUCUGAGGAAUAUUACUGACCGCAAUGCCUUCUAGUAGAAGUAGAGUAUUCUAUUCUCUUUGUUCAUCUCUGCUUCUAGCUCCAAGUCUGCAUCCCUUUUUGCAAUGACUUUUAAUGCCCUAAGCUUUGAUUUUUAAAAACAUUAAAAAAUUUUAUUUUUGUUUUCAUUACCUACAUGUCUCAUAGAAACAUCACCUAUAAUAAAGACCACAAAAGGAAAAGAAAAGCAGUCCAGUAAAACCAAUAGACAGCACAAGAAAACUGGCAUCUACAGAAUUUUGCAUUCAUAGUACCCCAACUCUGCCAACAGGCAGUGUGGUUUUCUGUGCUUGUAGAACAUAAACAGUGGAAGAUUUUACAGACAUGAGAAGGUUUUGAAGAUAGGCAUAAUCGUGUGUGUAUAAGGACUAGGCCUUGGAACUUGAUUCUGAGAGAUACGGCCAGAAGAUUUUGGCACCAGGAAAUUUUUCAAGAAUAUAAUAUGGAGAAAAGCUGCUUAUCUCCCCUCAAGAAGACAUUUUCCACACUGGGAGUUGUUCACACCAAAGAAAUCUUGGACCAGGAC
rnacentral:lncRNA from 1 species